GAUGAACGCUGGCGGCGUGCCUAAUACAUGCAAGUCGAGCGAACAGAUGAGGAGCUUGCUCCUCUGACGUUAGCGGCGGACGGGUGAGUAACACGUGGAUAACCUACCUAUAAGACUGGGAUAACUUCGGGAAACCGGAGCUAAUACCGGAUAAUAUAUUGAACCGCAUGGUUCAAUAGUGAAAGACGGUUUUGCUGUCACUUAUAGAUGGAUCCGCGCCGCAUUAGCUAGUUGGUAAGGUAACGGCUUACCAAGGCAACGAUGGGUAUCCGACCUGAGAGGGUGAUCGGCCACACUGGAACUGAGACACGGUCCAGACUCCUACGGGAGGCAGCAGUAGGGAAUCUUCCGCAAUGGGCGAAAGCCUGACGGAGCAACGCCGCGUGAGUGAUGAAGGUCUUCGGAUCGUAAAACUCUGUUAUUAGGGAAGAACAAAUGUGUAAGUAACUAUGCACGUCUUGACGGUACCUAAUCAGAAAGCCACGGCUAACUACGUG
rnacentral:rRNA from 1 species